UCUGAAUCUGCGUACGGCUCCGCAAACCAGUUGUAAACUAUAGCAAGCAGGCUCGGGGUCGGCCUUCACGGGCUGGCCUCGGGUGAUAUGGAUAACCCUGGUAAUUCUGAGGCUAAUACAUGAACGUAGAACCCGGUUGACUAGGCUUCACGGCCCGGGAUGCUGGGGGAUGUGCGAUUGGCAGGCUUGGGUAACACCGGGAAAGGGCGCGCGUCCAGACCGCGCUAUAAAGGAUGGGCUCCUCACGGGGCCUGCCCCAGCGGCUCUUGCUGUGUGCUUCUGACCUAUCAACUAGACGGCAGCGUAAGGGACAUGCUAUGGG
rnacentral:rRNA from 1 species